rnacentral:rRNA from 1 species
UACGUAGGGUGCAAGCGUUAAUCGGAAUACUGGGCGUAAAGCGUGCGCAGGCGGUGAUGUAAGACAGGUGUGAAAUCCCCGGGCUCAACCUGGGAACUGCGUUUGAAACGUACAAGGCUAGAGUGUAGCAGAGGGGGUAGAAUUCCACGUGUAGCAGUGAAAUGCGUAGAGAUGUGGAGGAAUACCAAUGGCGAAGGCAGCCCCUGGGUUAACACUGACGCUCAU